CAGCAAGUGUGAUUCGAUUUCUGUUUUUCCCGCAGCAACUGCACUUGCUGAAAGUGGACAUGCAACUGAAAAUUACAUUCUUGUUCUAAACAGAUUGUAUCUUUGUCGUCUUGUUCUUCUAAAUAAAGGGACUUCGCUUUUCAGCAUCUAGCCAAACACAGGAUCAGGCUCCCUGACCUCUGCUCUGACUGCUUCCUAGCCAGGUUAUGAGAGGAGACCCUAUAAUCUAUGCAGUGAUGUCAGCAGAAGUUUGUGAAGAGAAUCCAAUGGAAGGAAAGUUUGGAAUUGAAGAAUUCAAGGAAAUCAGUGAUUGUUACCCCUUUUGGCCCCAAGCAGAAUAGACAUCUCAUCUGUUGAUGGUAUGAAGUACUGGGCCUGAGACUUGUGGGGCAACAAAUGGGUUUUGCUGGUUCUGCAGAGAAGAUAAUCCUACUGGGGUUCCCUUCUGCCUUAUUGGUAGCAUCCCCAGAAAUUGUCAGCCAGAGACAGUGCUGUGAAGUGAAACCCCUCAACCUUCCCAGCUGAUACAUGUAUACUGGGAGUAGGAGAAAGAAGCUAGAGGAAGAGAGGGGAAAAACCCUAAAUGAGAGACUGACUAGCAACAUGGCACCUGAGCUUUAACUGGAUGUACAGAAAUCAUGGAUACAGUCCUGAUCUUCAUUGGUGCCUCUGGGUGUGCACUGAAAAGAAUGCAAGAAGAGUCUACCAAUAUGGCUGAUGACUGGUUGAUGAUCCAGAGAUGUUUCUUUUUAUGUGUUGGCAUGAACUAAUGGACCAUGGCUGUCGUCUGAGUGAAGAACUCCUACAUGAUCCUGUAAAAGGUAUCUGCAAAGACUCAUAACUCAGUCAUGUGGGCGAGGUUCACUGAGGAUUGGGAAGCUGCAUGCCUGGCAUGGAGACGUUUUGUCACCUGUUAUCAGCAUCACCAGCACCUUGGUACACUAGAAAUCUUGAAUCCUCUUCUGCAUCACCUCACAGCUUUUGCACAAGGACUGCAAAAGGUGUCUGCUGACCGAGCCAAAAGGCUGGUGGGCUGAAACACUUUUGGCUGCAGAGAAGGGAUUAAACUUGGACUCCAUUAAGUGACAGUAGCUGGAAGGUCAGAAGGUGCCACGGUGUAGAGCUGAGAUAAGGGAAAAAAGAAGACCUCCAAGAAAAAAUUUUUAAGCUGAUUUUUCAUUCCAUCCAAACCAUCACAUAUUCCUUGAAAAGAAGCUUUGUAUCCUAAAUAAAGAUAUUGAUAUUUUAGUUGAGGAUUUGGAGCAGAACCUCAGUAUGUGUGAAGACUAAGGGGAAGAAGCACAUAUCAACUGCCAAAACUUCUUUCCACGUAUCUUUAGCAGGGAAUUCAGUGAAAGGAGUAAAUCUUGGCUUUCUGACUCCUAACCUGUUUUCAUCCAGACAUCCAUACCCUGCUGCUGCAGAACUGGCAAGUAUCACUCAGGAUCACACAAUGCUCACCUUAACAUUCAUUACCAUGCUUGUAAGGUUUUCCUGCAAUUUAUUUGACAGCAAAGGAGCCAUGAGAUCAGCUGUAACUGAAAGUGUGAAAAGUAAGGAAAAGAAACUGUUUUAACACUUUAUUUUCCACUAUUAUGAGCCAGUUUUGCAGCAAAGAACUUUGUUUUGCUAGUGAAUUCCUUUUUUCCAUUUAUCCAAUAAACUGAGAUUAUGAGACUGAAUCUUAGGCAACAAAAAUAACAAAUUCUUUGGUUUCUCAGAAGAAAAAAUAACUAUAAAAAUUCAUUUUGGGUCUACCUUAAAGGCAGGGAAAAAAAAGAAGUGUUUAUUGGUUCUUUUACUCUAAAUCUACCUUUUGUGUAGAUGGUGGGGGUGGUAAAUUCAGUUCAAAUGUUUGCUGCAGAUAUUAUGAUGGUAGAAACAGAGUUCAUUUGUUUUCUUGGCACUGGUAAAUUAAAGCUUUAUUUUUUAUGUGUUUUAAAUCUGAAAUGUGUAAUAAAUAUUGACUAGGUCUAACUUUCCUAAAUGUUAAGCAUUGCAUGCAGUUGUUUAAGGCAGAGAAAUAUGCCAAGAAACUCUGCUGCAUUCUGCCUCAGGGAAUGUGCUGGUGUGUGUAGUUUAUGUCUCAGUUUGUGCAAAUCCAUAGUUUUCCAUCUAUACAAAACCAGUAAUUUCACUUUUUUUUUCCUUUCAACUACUUGAAAGAGGGAUUGCUGCUGUCUAAAACUGCUAUGGUGAAGAAAUAUUUCAGUAUUUUAAAAUAACAUUUGCAAGCCAUAAAAGGGACAGCCUGAGAUAUAAUUAUCACAUCUAAUCUCUCAAGAUUCCUGGAAGGUCAGAUUCACACAUUAUUGAUUUGAUUGAUUCUUUUUCUGAAGUUGACAGUUCUACUUUCAAUAAGCUCACUCUUUUUGUGGUUUUGCAUUGUCAUUCUGAGAAAUAUUGAGAAUGAAGACAUUAUUGUCCAUUUCCUUGCUGAGGAGAGAAUAAAAGAGAGAGAGUGAAUAAAAUUUGGAAGACAUUUCAGUUUUCUAGAAAUAAAUUUUCUUUUCCAUGUGGCUGUGUACUGCUUCCCACUUAACUUUCACUCUGUUGUACCUUGGAUGUGCUUUCAUUUUAGAAACGGCAUAGGUAUAUAAUAAUUUUUAAAAUAUUUAAAAAUAUUUGAAUAGUAAAGUGCUUAUACAAUAAAGGAAUUGUCUAAAGCCCAUUGAAACAAGAGGGAAACUUUUCAAAGUCUGCUAUUUGGCCUUCUAGUCAGGUCCUGAUUUUUUACCUUCUUCCUUUUUUAAAGAACAAUACUCAAUUCAGAAGCUAGUCUGGGGAUAAUAAUAUAAUGAUUUAAAAAUGUCAGGAAUUUCAGAGUCUAAAGGUAUGAGUUCUGGCUUUGAAAUCAUCACAGAUUCAAAUGAAUAGUGCCAGGCUUUCUUACUGUCUAUGAAAUAAAUUAAUAAAAAAUGUGUUUCACUUUCUUGCCAACCCCUCAUGACAAUGACCAUUCUCCCUCCCAUACAUCUGACUGUUUUGCAUUUUUUAUUUUUAAAAUUAAUCUUACUGAUGAACCAAACAUUGCAUUUGAAGUUAGAAAACCAUUAGAACACAAUUGUAUAAUAUUGUAUCAUAGUUUGGGAAUGAGCAAAGCAUUCAAUAUUAGUGAGGAUUGUUCAAAGACUCUGAUAGAGCAGAAGCUGAUAUGGUGAUCCUUGUCGGGCAUUGGAAAGAACGUGCUUUUCUUCUCCUCCAGCCCGAGGUUCACUCAGGUCACCAUGGGCAUGUUGUGAGCUGAAUUCCUUCAAUGCCUUGCCUUAGUGAGAGCAUUUCUUUUCACAGGAGCUGCUGGGCUUUAUCCAGCUGUGAUACUAGUUCUCUGAUCCACACCUGUUCCUGACACCUUUGUUGUUCUGCUUGGUCUCUGAAUGGCCUCUUGACUAUUCUUCAUUUUUAUUACUAUUUGAACCAUUGUUUCUCCUUUUAUGCCUUCGAAAUUCUGUGUUAGGGAUAAAAUCUGUUCUCAGUGUGGCAUAAAGCCAUUGCCCUUGCUGCCCUGAAGAGCAAUGGAUAACACCUAGGUAUUUCACUUGUUAGCUGUUAACCCAGAGUCAAAAGGGAGUAGACAAAGGCACCUUAGCUGGACACUGAAAGGAUGUUUGGCCAAAAUGGCUUCUGUGCUUGCCCUGUGCUUGAGCUUCCAUGCGCCUCCACUCCGGCCACCGUCAAACUCUAUCACUGGGUCAGUUAGCCUUGCCAUCAACCACCAAGCUGUUUCUGUGUGACAUGAGCUACCUUUAAACUUUAUCUUUGAACUGGGCCAAGAAGGAGGGAGGUUUGUAACAUGAAGCUCCUUUCCCUCAGUACUCUCAGAAUUUAUUUAGUGGUGAUUUCAGCCAUAGAGUCUUCUGUGAAGGAAUUUUCUGCUUUCUCUCACCCUGUUGCUGGCACUCCUCCAAAGUGUUUGAUUAGGGGUUAUGUCUGCAGUCAGCGCCUAGCAGAAUGAAAUACUACUUUUCAGGGUGUUUCUCAAGUCCUCUCUUUAUCAUUUUGUAUUGUAUACUAUUCUUUCUUCGGGAAUACUUAAAACUGGCAAGUAGUUUGCCUGCAGGUUUGCAGGAUUUUAUUCUGCUAUAUUAUUUUCAUUUCUCAGCCUUAAUUAUAAUUCUAACAAGUCUGUAUGUGAAGAUAAUCACAUAGCAAUCAUAUACAUUUAUAAGGAGGAUAAAAACUGUUGAUUGAACCUUUCUAUUAUAUUUUUAUUUGUGUUUUGGUUGUUAGGCAAGUGGGCAUUUUAUACAUGGAUGCUUUUGUUCAAAGCUUUUUUUGUCUGGUGAGUGAAAGAAGCUGGUAAUAUCUUGAAAACUCAGUUUUCUUUUCCCCAUAGUUUUUCUGCCUACACAACAAAAGCUGCUGGGGCGUUGUGCUGAGGAGACCAUGCCAACUUCUUUUGUAUCAGCAUGAACCCCUCUGAUCAAAUCAAAACUCCCAGUGUUAUCAGACUUGUUUGAGCAGCCCCAUAUUGCAUUUUCCAGGCAAGCUUCCUUCAAAAACUCAUAAAAAUAGAAAUUCAUAAGAAAAAGAACAUUACAUGAAUGAUGCUGAACUGGAAGGAAUCGCUUGGCCAGCAGUCCAAACAUUGGAAUGGGUAUUUUUAUAAUAUCUUAUAUGAAACUCAUCAAUUUACAUUGAGUGUGGCUCCAAAACUGCAACUACAGCAAAGACAAGGAAGGCAACACAUUGCAGUAAUGCAUUUAAGAACUCACUGUCAGCUUCUCAGCUAGACUGCAGAUCCUGUUGUGUGGAUUGCCCAUUUGGAGAUAUGGCUCUACUUAAUAAUUAUAUUUGAUGGCAAAUUUGAGAAUAAAUCUCUAAAAGAUGUUUGGUUAUAGGUGUGAUUUUUUUUUCCCAUGCCAGCAAGUGUACUCUAUUUCAAACUGAUACAGCAGAUUAUGGUCAUUUAUGUAGCAUCAUUCUUA